rnacentral:rRNA from 1 species
UACGAAGGGUGCAAGCGUUAAUCGGAAUUACUGGGCGUAAAGGGUGCGUAGGUGGUUGUUUAAGUCUGUCGUGAAAUCCCCGGGCUCAACCUGGGAAUGGCGAUGGAUACUGGGCAGCUAGAGUGUGUCAGAGGAUGGUGGAAUUCCCGGUGUAGCGGUGAAAUGCGUAGAGAUCGGGAGGAACAUCAGUGGCGAAGGCGGCCAUCUGGGACAACACUGACGCUGAAGCACGAAAGCCAGGGGAGCAAACGGG